rnacentral:misc_RNA from 1 species
UCAAACUUGGUCAUUUAGAGGAAGUAAAAGUCGUAACAAGGUCUCCGUAGGUGAACCUGCGGAGGGAUCAUUAUCGAGCGAGGGCCUCGGGCCCGACCUCCCACCCUUUUGUGAUUCUGACCGUGUUGCCUCGAGGGCGACCCGGACGCUUCGGCGGCGGGCCCCUCGGUGGACCCCAUCAAAACUCUUGCAUCUUUACGUCGGAUUAUCAAGUUUAAAUUAUCAAAACUUUCAACAACGGAUCUCUUGGUUCUGGCAUCGAUGAAGAACGCAGC